GCAUGUGAGGGUAAUCUGGAUCUGACCUCUGUCAGAUUGCUUUCAAGGCUUGAUUCAGCUGAUCUGGCUGGCAGAGCGGUAUCCCCUUCCUCCUUUUCCUCCUUCACUGCUCUAUGUGUGUUUCCCCCCCCAAAGUCAAAGAAGAUGACCUUCCCUGAAUAGAGAAGGACCAGACUUUGGUUAAGAGUAUAGAACCUCCAAACAAGCUCUUAAGAAACAUUUCUGGGAGGUGGCUCAGUGGCAUUAUGCAUGUGUGAAGUCCCAU
rnacentral:snRNA from 1 species